AUGAACGCUAGCUACAGGCUUAACACAUGCAAGUCGAGGGGCAGCAUGAUUGAAGCUUGCUUCAAUUGAUGGCGACCGGCGCACGGGUGAGUAACGCGUAUCCAACCUUCCGUACACUCAGGGAUAGCCUUUCGAAAGAAAGAUUAAUACCUGAUGGUAUGAUGAGAUCGCAUGGUAUCAUCAUUAAAGAUUUAUCGGUGUACGAUGGGGAUGCGUUCCAUUAGGUAGUAGGCGGGGUAACGGCCCACCAAGCCUUCGAUGGAUAGGGGUUCUGAGAGGAAGGUCCCCCACAUUGGAACUGAGACACGGUCCAAACUCCUACGGGAGGCAGCAGUGAGGAAUAUUGGUCAAUGGACGAGAGUCUGAACCAGCCAAGUAGCGUGCAGGAUGACGGCCCUAUGGGUUGUAAACUGCUUUUAUAAGGGAAUAAAGUGAGUCUCGUGAGACUUUUUGCAUGUACCUUAUGAAUAAGGACCGGCUAAUUCCGUG
rnacentral:rRNA from 1 species